rnacentral:lncRNA from 1 species
AGUUGUUUGACAUGUUAUUGGUUCAUCCGAACUCCUGGAAAAUUUUUGGCAUGUCAUUCAAACCUUCGGUGUAUCACCUGAUCCAACGACAUGUUGACUCCCACAACAUUCGAUCUUGGCACAAUGUCUAAUUCUUCUGGCCCGAUGCCCGAUCUCUGACUUCGGCCCAACGUCUGAUUCUUCUUGCUUUAAUCAUUUUUC